rnacentral:rRNA from 1 species
AAGUCGAGCGGUAGAGAGGAGCUUGCUUCUCUUGAGAGCGGCGGACGCGUUAGUAAUGCCUAGGAAUCUGCCUAGUGGUGGGGGAUAACGUUCGGAAACGGACGCUAAUACCGCAUACGUCCUACGGGAGAAAGCGGGGGAUCUUCGGACCUCGCGCCAUUAGAUGAGCCUAGGUCGGAUUAGCUAGUUGGUGAGGUAAUGGCUCACCGAGGCGACGAUCCGUAACUGGUCUGAGAGGAUGAUCAGUCACACUGGAACUGAGACACGGUCCAGACUCCUACGGGAGGCAGCAGUGGGGAAUAUUGGACAAUGGGCGAAAGCCUGAUCCAGCCAUGCCGCGUGUGUGAAGAAGGUCUUCGGAUUGUAAAGCACUUUAAGUUGGGAGGAAGGGUAGUAACCUAAUACGUUGCUACUUUGACGUUACCGACAGAAUAAGCACCGGCUAACUUCGUGCCAGCAGCCGCGGUAAUACGAAGGGUGCAAGCGUUAAUCGGAAUUACUGGGCGUAAAGCGCGCGUAGGUGGUUCAGUAAGUUGGAAGUGAAAUCCCCGGGCUCAACCUGGGAACUGCUUUCAAAACUGCUGAGCUAGAGUACGGUAGAGGGUGGUGGAAUUUCCUGUGUAGCGGUGAAAUGCGUAGAUAUAGGAAGGAACACCAGUGGCGAAGGCGACCACCUGGACUGAUACUGACACUGAGGUGCGAAAGCGUGGGGAGCAAACAGGAUUAGAUACCCUGGUAGUCCACGCCGUAAACGAUGUCAACUAGCCGUUGGAAUCCUUGAGAUUUUAGU